rnacentral:rRNA from 1 species
GAUGAACGCUAGCUCCAGUCUUAACACAUGCAAGUCGAGGGACCGGCGCACGGGUGAGUAACGCGUAUCCAACCUACCCAAUACUCAGGCAUAACCCGUUGAAAGACGGACUAAUUCCUGAUGGUCUUAGAUUGGGAUGCGUCUGAUUAGUUUGUUGGUGAGGUAACGGCUCACCAAGACUUCGAUCAGUAGUUGUUCUGAGAGGAAGGCCCCCCAGAUGGGAACGGAGACACGGUCCAAACUCCUACGGGAGGAAGCAUUGAGAAAUAUUGGUCAAUGGAUGCAAAUCUGAACCAGCCACGUAGCGAGCAGGAUGACGGACGAUGGGUGGUAAACUGCAUUUAUGUGAGAAUAUGUAUCACAUGAAUAAGGACCGGCUAACUCCGUGCCAGCAGCCGCGGUAAUUA